rnacentral:rRNA from 1 species
CGGGGGGUAUCUUGCGCAUUGGGCGAAGUCUGAUCCAGCAACGCCGCGUGAGUGAUGACGGUUCUUCGGAUUGUAAAGCUCUGUUGUUAGGGAAGAACCUGUGCCGUCCUAAUUGCUUGUACCUUGGCCGUUCCCUUACCAAACGGGAGGCCUCUCUCA